rnacentral:rRNA from 1 species
GGACAACCUACCCUUGAGACAGGUAUAAACCCGGGAAACUGGGUAUAAUCCCUGAUAGAUCUCGGUCGCUGGAAUGCUCCGAGAUCCAAAGCUCCGGCGCUCAAGGAUGGGUCUGCGGCCUAUCAGGUAGUAGUGGGUGUAGCGUACCUACUAGCCUACGACGGGUACGGGUUGUGAGAGCAAGAGCCCGGAGAUGGAUUCUGAGACACGAAUCCAGGCCCUACGGGGUGCAGCAGGCGCGAAAACUUUACAAUGCCGGCAACGGCGAUAAGGGAACCUCGAGUGCCAGGUUACAAAUCUGGCUGUCGUGAUGCCUAAAAAGCAUUGCAUAGCAAGGGCCGGGCAAGACCGGUGCCAGCCGCCGCGGUAACACCGGCGGCUCGAGUGGUAACCGUUAUUAUUGGGUCUAAAGGGUCUGUAGCCGGCCGGAUAAGUCUCUUGGGAAAUCCAGCAGCUCAACUGUUGGGCUUUCAGGAGAUACUGUUCGGCUCGAGGCCGGGAGAGGUGAGAGGUACUUCAGGGGUAGGGGUGAAAUCUUGUAAUCCUUGAAGGACCACCAGUGGCGAAGGCGUCUCACCAGAACGGACCUGACGGCAAGGGACGAAAGCUAGGGGCACGAACCGGAUUAGAUACCCGGGUAGUCCUAGCCGUAAACGAUACUCGCUAGGUGUCGGCCACGGUGCGACCGUUGUCGGUGCCGUAGGGAAGCCGUGAAGCGAGCCACCUGGGAAGUACGGCCGCAAGGCUGAAACUUAA